rnacentral:rRNA from 1 species
UAGGGAAUCUUCCACAAUGGACGCAAGUCUGAUGGAGCAACGCCGCGUGAGUGAAGAAGGUUUUCGGACCGUAAAGCUCUGUUGUUGGUGAAGAAGGAUAGAGGUAGUAACUGGCCUUUAUUUGACGGUAAUCAACCAGAAAGUCACGGCUAACUACGUGCCAGCAGCCGCGGUAAUACGUAGGUGGCAAGCGUUGUCCGGAUUUAUUGGGCGUAAAGCGAGCGCAGGCGGAAGAAUAAGUCUGAUGUGAAAGCCCUCGGCUUAACCGAGGAAUUGCAUCGGAAACUGUUUUCUUGAGUGCAGAAGAGGAGAGUAGAGCUCCAUGUGUAGCGGUGGAAUGCGUAGAUAUAUGGAAGAAUACCAGUGGCGAAGGCGGCUCUCUGGUCUGCAACUGACGCUGAGGCUCGAAAGCAUGGGUAGCGAACAGGAUUAGAAUACCCUGGUAGUCCAUGCCGUAAACGAUGAGUGCUAAGUGUUGGGAGGCUUCCGCCUCUCAGUGCUGCAGCUAACGCAUUAAGCACUCCGCCUGGGGGA